UACGUAGGGUGCAAGCGUUAAUCGGAAUUACUGGGCGUAAAGCGUGCGCAGGCGGCUUUGCAAGUCAGAUGUGAAAUCCCCGGGCUUAACCUGGGAACUGCAUUUGUGACUGCAUGGCUGGAGUGCGGCAGAGGGGGAUGGAAUUCCGCGUGUAGCAGUGAAAUGCGUAGAUAUGCGGAGGAACACCGAUGGCGAAGGCAAUCCCCUGGGCCUGAACUGACGCUCAUGCACGAAAGCGUGGGGAGCAAACAGG
rnacentral:rRNA from 1 species